UACGUAGGGUGCAAGCGUUGUCCGGAAUUAUUGGGCGUAAAGGGUCCGUAGGCGGUGCGGUAAGUCGGGAGUGAAAUCUCUGGGCUUAACUCAGAGGCUGCUUCCGAAACUACCGUGCUAGAGUGCGAGAGAGGCAAGUGGAAUUGCGGGUGUAGCGGUGAAAUGCGUAGAUAUCCGCAGGAACAUCCGAGGCGAAGGCGACACGCUGGGCCGUACCUGACACUGAUGCGCGACAGCAUGGGGAGCAAACAGG
rnacentral:rRNA from 1 species